UCCUGCUGGCAGCGGGGGGCGCGGAGGUGGGAGCAGACGUGUGCGCGGUCUGCCGGGCGUUCUCAGUUCCAGUCGGCUGGGUCCCGCAGAUCAUGUGUCCGCGCCCGGCGCACGCCCCCUCCUCCGUGGCGGAGGCCCGCUGGGUUAUUUUUAGCUUGCCCUGUAACAUCUGGCCCCGGAGACUUCCACCAGGGCGUCGGCCGCCUGGCCAGCGCCAAGGGAGGAGGGGGCACCGACUUGGAGACGUGGCGUGUCUCUGUCUGCCCCUCUCCUAACAAGCACUUCCACGAAGGCUGGGUCCCCUCCCGGAAGGAGCGGCUGGGGCAGGCAAGCAGGCUGGCGGGUGGGUGGGGGCUCUGCUGCUCCCUUGUCCAAGUCUUGAGCUUUGAGCGGGCCGACGCUUUGGAAGAUGUUGCCAGACGCGACCCGCUGGGCUUGCGGCUGCGGGGAGACGCCUCGCUGGCGUGGGACAGCUCUUACCGCAUGUGCCUCUGCUGAGAUUUAAAUGACACUGUGCACAUGAAGUGUUUCGUGUACAUCCUAGGUGUGCUGGAAAUGUCGGCUCCUGUGUGUGCUUUGUACAGGACUCAACCUUCCACAAAUUUUACGUCCCCUUCCUGUUCCCAGCACCCCGACACAGGUGCGGUUUUGACACCCAUUUCACAGGUGAGAGCGGGGUAGAGGCCGGAACCCAGGUCCGUCUGACCUCUGGGUCUCACUCGCCGGCCAAGCUCGAGGGACCCAAGCUCUAGGCAUCCGCGUACCUGGGCUGCGGCCCAGCUCUGCCUGCGUGAGACGCUGCAAAGCCUUGCUCACCGCGCCUCAGUCUCCCACCUGUGAAAUGGGCGCGUGACAGCACCUUCCUCCUAAGGUCCAUGGGGGCAAGAGGACAUGGUGCCGGCCGUGCCCAGCACUUGCACAGAGUGAGCGCUCAACAGAGGCCGGCUUCUUCCUCCCUGGGGCACUGACCCCCACGGCCGGCCAGGGCAGCCACCUCGAUAGCCUGGGCCGUAUCCUCGAGCCCUCCUGGCCUCCUGGAGAGUGACAGCAGCAAGGACUCGCGACGUGUGCCUGCACUGUCUGAAGCCUUCACACGUUUUAAUGCAAGUAGGUCUCGCAGGAGCCCUGCACCCAGGCCGGGUGCCAUCUCAGCCCCUCCCCGUGCCAGACGCUCACUCAGAGUCAGACUCGGUCAACGGAGGUGGUGCAGCCGGCCGCACCCCCUCUCUGUGCCUCAGUUUCCUCAUCUGUGAAAGCAGGGUACGGAGCCAGAACCACUCCCGCAGGCUCGCUGAGGUUGUGCUCGCUGAGGUCUAGGGCUGGGAACAGGCUCGCCGUGGGAGCCCACCCCACGAGUCGCCGCGUCCAGGGCCUCGGCCAUCCUCCGCCGGCCCUCCAGGCAGCCCCAUCCCCACCCGGCUCCCCGUGAACCUUCCUGCCCCUUGGAACCCGGGAUCCUGGGCUUUCCUAAGGCCAUCAACACCUCCCCCAUUCCCGUUCACCCGUCCCUUCCACCUUCUCCCUAAAACGUAGGCAUUUCCUGUUGGUGUCAACGGGACAUUCUUGGCCCGUUUCCUGGUCUCUCUCCCGCUGGGCGGCCCCACUCCUGCCAAGAGCACCAACCGCCCUCCCUCUGGGUGGGGGGCACUCCAGUGACCUCUCCCAGCCUCCUCCCCAUCCCUUUCUGGACUCUGCGCCUUGCCUUCACCCUGGCAGUCUCCCACCUGGAGUGCUUUUCUACCCAAACCGCAGCACUCACACAGCGCCCCCUCCGGGUUUCUGCUCGUAUGUCGCUUUCUUGGUGUGGUCUUCUCUGAGCCCAGGAUUUAAAACCACAAUUCCUACACCACUGGGACGCCCCACGCCCCUCCUGGCUUUGUGCUUCUUCACACCUGUCACCGUAUUUUGCUUUAUCUUGUUCCUUUGUUGUCUGUCUUUCCACACCAGGACGCCGGCUUCACAGGGGCAGCUUUUUUGGGUCUGUUCAUUCGCUUUGGAAUCACCAGUGCCUAAAGCAGUGCCCGGCACCAGGCAGACACUCAACAAACACCGAGGAACGAAUGAGUCGUGUACAACCCCGUCCACCUGCCUGCUGGAUGGCUUGGCUGUCACUCCAUCUGUCCCACACAGCUGUCCCUCAUCACGGUGACGACGGAGCAUGCAACAUGUGGCCGGUCUGAACGGAGGUCUAUUGUAAGCGUAAAACAUACACGGGAUUUUGAAGACGUACGGAAGGAAAAAGGACGAGAAUAUUUCAUUAGGGACUUUUAUGUUGAUUAUGCACUGAACUGCUAAUGUUUAGGCCAUAUUGGGUUCAAUGAAAUAGAUGAUUGAAUUAA